UACGUAGGGGGCGAGCGUUGUCCGGAUUUAUUGGGCGUAAAGAGCUCGUAGGCGGCUUGGCAAGUCGGGUGUGAAACCUCCAGGCUCAACCUGGAGACACCACUCGAUACUGCCAUGGCUAGAGUCCGGUAGGGGACCACGGAAUUCCUGGUGUAGCGGUGAAAUGCGCAGAUAUCAGGAGGAACACCGGUGGCGAAGGCGGUGGUCUGGGCCGGCACUGACGCUGAGGAGCGAAAGCGUGGGGAGCAAACAGG
rnacentral:rRNA from 1 species